CAGGUACAUAAAGACAGGUAUAUAAUAAUGACAGGUACAUAAAGACAGGUAUAUAAUAAUGACAGGUACAUAAAGACAGGUAUAUAAUAAUGACAGGUACAUAAAGACAGGUAUAUAAUAAUGACAGGUACAUAAAGACAGGUAUAUAAUAAUGACAGGUACAUAAAGACAGGUAUAUAAUAAUGACAGGUACAUAAAGACAGGUAUAUAAUAAUGACAGGUACAUAAAGACAGGUAUAUAAUAAUGACAGGUACAUAAAGACAGGUAUAUAAUAAUGACAGGUACAU